rnacentral:lncRNA from 1 species
GGGCCGGGGCGCCCCGAACGGCCGGGCAGCACGGGCGGGCGCGCGCGCGGCUCCGGGCGUCACGCGCCAGCAGGUGUGAGCUGGGGGAGGGCUUCCGGGUGGGCUGGCCCGGCCGAGUUGAGUUCGCUUCCCGUCUCCUGGGGGCCCCGGCGCGGGUGCACCCUCCCGGCCCGCGGAGGCGCAUUCAUCCAUGGCUGUCGGUGGCAGAGGGAGGCGUCAGGCCUCGGAGCCUCGGGUCCCUGCGCAGCGUCCCGGCCUGUGUGCAGGACCUGCGUGACAGGGUGAAUGCGUUACACACCCCUCCCCAGGGCCCUGCGUGUGCGGCCACUUGGGGAGGCGGCUCAGACUCUGGACAAGGAAACGAGGGGCACUGGAAGUGGUUUUACACCUUCACCUGGUCCGGUGCCCUUCAGUUCCAGACUACUGGGUUUAUUCGGCUGCAGAGGCUAAACAUCCGAUCCAGUGAGACACGCUGUAGUGCUUAAAGACGUCCAGUAACGGUCACCUCUAGUCAAGCGCCUUAAGGACCAGCUUAUUCUGAAUUCUUUGGAAUUCAGGUUACCAGCCUGCGACUUUAAGUUCGUGCUUCCUCAUGUGUUUUGGCUGUGUUAUUACUUUUUAGCAUCAGUGCUAGAGAUUGAACGAGAGGAUGGUGAAUUUCAGGUAUCUUCUUACCUGAUUGGGCCGGGCACCCUGCUCACAGAACUGGAUGGUUCGUACCCUGCUGUCUGCCACCAAGUCUCCUGGCAUCCCCUCUUGCUUCCUGGGAAGACCUUCCAGGCCUCCUUGCUGGUGUUCUGCUCCUCCCUCACAUCUGCUGCCUCACUUAAGACAUCUCUUCUGGACGUCUUGCUUGAAGUUAGGCCAGUUGCCAACAAUGGUUGUGGUUUUUUGCACUGAAUGUAACCUAGACUCAUCUUCACGGGCUUGUGUUGCCCCAGGUACUGUCAAAGGUAAGUUUUUAAAAUAUGUGUCUACCAUGUAUUGGCAAUAGUCUUCUCCUUAAAAAGAAGAAAAUACUUUUUCAAGAACGUUGUUGCCCUUUUACCAAGUUCUUACAGGAAGAUAUUUGUAAGGUGACCAUCAUACCAGCCCCUGCUUUCCUCCUAUGUGGUAGGUCCCUUUAAAAAGAACUGGUAUUUAGAUGGAUACUGACAUUUGGUGCCUCAUGCUAGAAAGCCACCACUUAGUUAUUAUGUGAGUUUUAUGUGAGUGUACCCCUAGCGUCUCUGUCUCUCACCUUUCCCUGCCGCAGUCUGUAGUCCACAUUACUGCCAGGGUUCACUUUCUGAAUGAUGGAUUUACUCAGGUCACGCCUUUGCUUAAACAGCCCUCAUUGCAUCCAGUUGCUGCAGAUGUUGUCCCACAGAUCCCUUCAAAACCUAAUUCCAGUCAACGUUUCUGGCUGCUUUUUUAGUGAAUCCUUAAUCUGUAAGCCUUAACGGACCAUUUUCUGUUCCCUAGAUAUAUAUAGUAUUUUUUUCAUGGCUUUGUGCCUUGGUUGAUGCUUUUCUCUUUUUAGAGUUUGGAAGCAGGGAGAAGAAUGUGACUAUCUAUUCUCCUUGUUGUAUUUUUCCUGUUGUCUUCUUCUCCCAAACUCCCUUGGCAGAAUUUCUUUUUCAUCUGUGUUCUAAGAGCACCUGUUGUUAUUACAGUAAUAAAUUAUUCAAUAUUUUAUAUUAAAGUUGUUUAUUUGUAUCUGUCUCCUUUACUAAUAUAUAAACCUUUUGAGACUGC